CCGGCCACACUGGGACUGAGACACGGCCCAGACUCCUACGGGAGGCAGCAGUGGGGAAUAUUGCACAAUGGGCGAAAGCCUGAUGCAGCGACGCCGCGUGAGGGAUGAAGGCCUUCGGGUUGUAAACCUCUUUCAGCAGGGAAGAAGCGCAAGUGACGGUACCUGCAGAAGAAGCGCCGGCUAACUACGUGCCAGCAGCCGCGGUAAUACGUAGGGCGCAAGCGUUGUCCGGAAUUAUUGGGCGUAAAGAGCUCGUAGGCGGUUUGUCGCGUCUGGUGUGAAAACUCGAGGCUCAACCUCGAGCUUGCAUCGGGUACGGGCAGACUAGAGUGCGGUAGGGGAGACUGGAAUUCCUGGUGUAGCGGUGGAAUGCGCAGAUAUCAGGAGGAACACCGAUGGCGAAGGCAGGUCUCUGGGCCGCAACUGACGCUGAGGAGCGAAAGCAUGGGGAGCGAACAGGAUUAGAUACCCUGGUAGUCCAUGCCGUAAACGUUGGGCACUAGGUGUGGGGCUCAUUCCACGAGUUCCGUGCCGCAGCAAACGCAUUAAGUGCCCCGCCUGGGGAGUACGGCCGCAAGGCUAAAACUCAAAGGAAUUGACGGGGGCCCGCACAAGCGGCGGAGCAUGCGGAUUAAUUCGAUGCAACGCGAAGAACCUUACCAAGGCUUGACAUGCACGGGAAGCCACCAGAGAUGGUGGUCUCUUUGGACACUCGUGCACAGGUGGUGCAUGGUUGUCGUCAGCUCGUGUCGUGAGAUGUUGGGUUAAGUCCCGCAACGAGCGCAACCCUCGUCCCAUGUUGCCAGCGGGUUAUGCCGGGGACUCAUGGGAGACUGCCGGGGUCAACUCGGAGGAAGGUGGGGAUGACGUCAAAUCAUCAUGCCCCUUAUGUCUUGGGCUUCACGCAUGCUACAAUGGCCGGUACAAAGGGCUGCGAUACCGUAAGGUGGAGCGAAUCCCAAAAAGCCGGUCUCAGUUCGGAUUGGGGUCUGCAACUCGACCCCAUGAAGUCGGAGUCGCUAGUAAUCGCAGAUCAGCAACGCUGCGGUGAAUACGUUCCCGGGCCUUGUACACACCGCCCGUCAAGUCACGAAAGUCGGUAACACCCGAAGCCCAU
rnacentral:rRNA from 1 species